GGGUAUUUAGCUCAGUGGUUUCAGUGCCUGCCUCCCAAGUACAAGGUCCUGAGUUCAAUCCCCAGUAUCCCCU
rnacentral:tRNA from 1 species